GUUAACAUGUCACUAAUAAUUAAUGAUUUUAUUUUGACACAUCACUUGGACUUUUUAUUUCUUAAUGAAACAUGGUUGAAUGAUGGUAUCAGUAAUACUAUUCUCAAUGAAAGUGCGCCACAAGACUUUAUUUAUUUAAAUAAGUGUCGUACUUGCAGGAAAGGUGGUGGAGUUGCUGCCAUUUUUAAAUCAAUAUUUCAGUGCAAAGAAAUAACAUUUGGUGAUUUUAUCUCCUUUGAAUAUAUGUCAUUCUUACUGAAGGGUGAUUCAAGAGUUCUGUUUUUAGUCAUUUAUAGACCCCCAAAAUAUUCUGGAGAAUUCAUGGAUGAGUUUGCUGAACUGCUGUCAGUUGUAUGCACUGAAUACAACUUUUUAAUAAUAACAGGUGACUUAAAUAUUCAUGUAGACAAUAACAUGGACAAUACUGCCAAAGAACUGUAUGCUUUAAUGGAUACUUUUGGUCUUACACAACAUGUGACUGGUCCGACACACACUCAAGGUCACACUUUGGAUCUGGUUAUCUCUAAAGGUGUUGAUAUCUCUGCUGUUGAUGUAAGAGACUUAGCUCUAUCUGAUCAUUUCUGUGUCUUUUUUGACCUAGAGACUGUAACAUCUGUUCCCCCUAGUUAUGUGUGUUUAAAGAAAAGGUACAUAAAUGAGAACACAAGUGCACAGUUUAUGGAAGCCAUAGCAAUGACACCAACAUUGAGUGCUGAGACAGUUGAUGAUCUUCUGGAUGAGUAUAAUAGAAACGUCUGUAAUGUCAUAGAUGUGGUGGCUCCAAUCAAAACUAAGAGAAAACCAAACACACAGAAAACACCUUGGAGGAGGACUGAGAUAAUGCAGAAUUUGAAAUCUGACUGUAGAAGAGCUGAGCGUAAAUGGAGAUCAACAAAACUCCAAAUUCAUCUAGAACUGUACAAAAUAAGUCUGCGAAAAUUCAAUGAUGGCUUGUUCAAAGCAAGGCAGCAAUACUUUUCUGAAAUUAUUGCCAAAAAUGUCAACAACUCUCGCACGUUGUUUUCUGUAAUUGAAAAGCUCACAACCCCCCCAGAUCAGAUAGCCCCUGAAUUACUGUCAGCUGGAAAAUGCAAUGAAUUUGCUGUAUAUUUCAAUGAAAAAAUACAAUCAAUAAGGUCAAACAUCAGAACAAACCAGC
ensembl:lncRNA